GAGUUUGAUCGUGGCUCAGAUUGAACGCUGGCGGCAUGCCUUACACAUGCAAGUCGAACGGCAGCACGGGAGCUUGCUCCUGGUGGCGAGUGGCGAACGGGUGAGUAAUGCAUCGGAACGUAUCCUGGAGUGGGGGAUAACGUAGCGAAAGUUACGCUAAUACCGCAUAUUCUGUGAGCAGGAAAGCGGGGGACCUUCGGGCCUCGCGCUCUUGGAGCGGCCGAUGUCGGAUUAGCUAGUUGGUGAGGUAAAGGCUCACCAAGGCGACGAUCCGUAGCAGGUCUGAGAGGAUGAUCUGCCACACUGGAAUUGAGACACGGUCCAGACUCCUACGGGAGGCAGCAGUGGGAAUUUUGGACAAUGGGGCAACCCUGAUCCAGCCAUGCCGCGUGAGUGAAGAAGGCCUCGGUUGUAAG
rnacentral:rRNA from 1 species